CUAUGUGUUGUUGGGUAGGGGAGCGUUCUGUAAGCCUGUGAAGGUGUACUGUGAGGUAUGCUGGAGGUAUCAGAAGUGCGAAUGCUGACAUAAGUAACGAUAAAGCGGGUGAAAAGCCCGCUCGCCGGAAGACCAAGGGUUCCUGUCCAACGUUAAUCGGGGCAGGGUGAGUCGACCCCUAAGGCGAGGCCGAAAGGCGUAGUCGAUGGGAAACAGGUUAAUAUUCCUGUACUUGGUGUUACUGCGAAGGGGGGACGGAGAAGGCUAUGUUGGCCGGGCGACGGUUGUCCCGGUUUAAGCGUGUAGGCUGGUUUUCCAGGCAAAUCCGGAAAAUCAAGGCUGAGGCGUGAUGACGAGGCACUACGGUGCUGAAGCAACAAAUGCCCUGCUUCCAGGAAAAGCCUCUAAGCAUCAGGUAACAUCAAAUCGUACCCCAAACCGACACAGGUGGUCAGGUAGAGAAUACCAAGGCGCUUGAGAGAACUCGGGUGAAGGAACUAGGCAAAAUGGUGCCGUAACUUCGGGAGAAGGCACGCUGAUAUGUAGGUGAAGCGACUUGCUCGUGGAGCUGAAAUCAGUCGAAGAUACCAGCUGGCUGCAACUGUUUAUUAAAAACACAGCACUGUGCAAACACGAAAGUGGACGUAUACGGUGUGACGCCUGCCCGGUGCCGGAAGGUUAAUUGAUGGGGUUAGCGGUAACGCGAAGCUCUUGAUCGAAGCCCCGGUAAACGGCGGCCGUAACUAUAACGGUCCUAAGGUAGCGAAAUUCCUUGUCGGGUAAGUUCCGACCUGCACGAAUGGCGUAAUGAUGGCCAGGCUGUCUCCACCCGAGACUCAGUGAAAUUGAACUCGCUGUGAAGAUGCAGUGUACCCGCGGCAAGACGGAAAGACCCCGUGAACCUUUACUAUAGCUUGACACUGAACAUUGAGCCUUGAUGUGUAGGAUAGGUGGGAGGCUUUGAAGUGUGGACGCCAGUCUGCAUGGAGCCGGCCUUGAAAUACCACCCUUUAAUGUUUGAUGUUCUAACGUUGGCCCCUGAUCGGGGUUGCGGACAGUGUCUGGUGGGUAGUUUGACUGGGGCGGUCUCCUCCUAAAGAGUAACGGAGGAGCACGAAGGUUGGCUAAUCCUGGUCGGACAUCAGGAGGUUAGUGCAAUGGCAUAAGCCAGCUUGACUGCGAGCGUGACGGCGCGAGCAGGUGCGAAAGCAGGUCAUAGUGAUCCGGUGGUUCUGAAUGGAAGGGCCAUCGCUCAACGGAUAAAAGGUACUCCGGGGAUAACAGGCUGAUACCGCCCAAGAGUUCAUAUCGACGGCGGUGUUUGGCACCUCGAUGUCGGCUCAUCACAUCCUGGGGCUGAAGUAGGUCCCAAGGGUAUGGCUGUUCGCCAUUUAAAGUGGUACGCGAGCUGGGUUUAGAACGUCGUGAGACAGUUCGGUCCCUAUCUGCCGUGGGCGCUGGAGAACUGAGGGGGGCUGCUCCUAGUACGAGAGGACCGGAGUGGACGCAUCACUGGUGUUCGGGUUGUCAUGCCAAUGGCACUGCCCGGUAGCUAAAUGCGGAAGAGAUAAGUGCUGAAAGCAUCUAAGCACGAAACUUGCCCCGAGAUGAGUUCUCCCUGAGACUUAGAGUCUCCUGAAGGAACGUUGAAGACGACGACGUUGAUAGGCCGGGUGUGUAAGCGCAGCGAUGCGUUGAGCUAACCGGUACUAAUGAACCGUGAGGCUUAACCUU
rnacentral:rRNA from 1 species